AGUGAACGCUGGCGGUAGGCCUAACACAUGCAAGUCGAACGGCAGCACAGGAGAGCUUGCUCUCUGGGUGGCGAGUGGCGGACGGGUGAGGAAUACAUCGGAAUCUACUCUGUCGUGGGGGAUAACGUAGGGAAACUUACGCUAAUACCGCAUACGACCUACGGGUGAAAGCAGGGGAUCUUCGGACCUUGCGCGAUUGAAUGAGCCGAUGUCGGAUUAGCUAGUUGGCGGGGUAAAGGCCCCCCAAGGCGACGAUCCGUAGCUGGUCUGAGAGGAUGAUCAGCCACACUGGAACUGAGACACGGUCCAGACUCCUACGGGAGGCAGCAGUGGGGAAUAUUGGACAAUGGGCGCAAGCCCGAUCCAGCCAUACCGCGUGGGUGAAGAAGGCCUUCGGGUUGUAAAGCCCUUUUGUUGGGAAAGAAAUCCAGCUGGCUAAUACCCGGUUGGGAUGACGGUACCCAAAGAAUAAGCACCGGCUAACUUCGUGCCAGCAGCCGCCGCGG
rnacentral:rRNA from 1 species